UGGGGAAUUUUGGACAAUGGGCGCAAGCCUGAUCCAGCCAUGCCGCGUGCGGGAAGAAGGCCUUCGGGUUGUAAACCGCUUUUGUCAGGGAAGAAAUCUUCUGAGUUAAUACCUCGGGAGGAUGACGGUACCUGAAGAAUAAGCACCGGCUAACUACGUGCCAGCAGCCGCGGUAAUACGUAGGGUGCAAGCGUUAAUCGGAAUUACUGGGCGUAAAGCGUGCGCAGGCGGUUUUGUAAGACAGAGGUGAAAUCCCCGGGCUCAACCUGGGAACUGCCUUUGUGACUGCAAGGCUUGAGUGCGGCAGAGGGGGAUGGAAUUCCGCGUGUAGCAGUGAAAUGCGUAGAUAUGCGGAGGAACACCGAUGGCGAAGGCAAUCCCCUGGGCCUGCACUGACGCUCAUGCACGAAAGCGUGGGGAGCAAACAGGAUUAGAUACCCUGGUAGUCCACGCCCUAAACGAUGUCAACUGGUUGUUGGGAAGGUUCCUUCUCAGUAACGUAGCUAACGCGUGAAGUUGACCGCCUGGGGAGUACGGCCGCAAGGUUAAAAC
rnacentral:rRNA from 1 species